AGAGCGAAGGGGAUUGGGGGUUGGAGGAGGAGAUUUUGGAGUUCAUGAAGAAAUCUGAGAGACCAGAGGCGUUUCCCUCCAGGAAAGAGUUGGUUGAUGGUGGGAGGAUGGAUUUGGUGGAGGCUAUUGUUGAGAAAGGUGGGUGGUUAUCCUUGGGUUGGGAUUUGGAUGCUGAGGAAGGGGUGCUUGAUGAUGAUGAUGAUGAUGAUGGCCGCCAUGUUACUGAUUGGGAUUUGAUUAUGCGGAAAGCAAAUGAUGGCGAUUUGGUCUGUGGCGAUGGCGGUGGUGAAGCCAAUGAUUUGGAGGUAGAUGAAAUUCGUGUUUCGGGGCUUUUAGAGGCCG
rnacentral:lncRNA from 1 species